rnacentral:rRNA from 1 species
UACAGAGGUCUCAAGCGUUGUUCGGAUUCAUUGGGCGUAAAGGGUGCGUAGGCGGCGGGGUAAGUUGGAUGUGAAAUCUUGGGGCUUAACCUCAAAAUUGCAUUCAAUACUGCUUCGCUAGAGAGCUGUAGAGGAGACUGGAAUUUACGGUGUAGCAGUGAAAUGCGUAGAUAUCGUAAGGAACGCCAGUGGCGAAAGCGAGUCUCUGGGCAGCAUCUGACGCUGAGGCACGAAGGCCAGGGGAGCAAACGGG